UCCGUAUUCAAAAAACAAACAUUUGCCCAUCUCUACUCCUGUCCGUACGGACACUUCGGCCCACCUGUUCAUCAAUUCCAACCAUCUAUGCAGCGAGCGACCCUUGUUUGAAAUUUUCAUUAAUGUUGGAUAUCCCAAUCCCAUAACCAAUUUCCACCAAUUUCAGAACCGUUGGAUUUACGACGAACAGAUGGGAUGGAAGCAGGAUCAAGUCUGUUUGGAGAAGCAUUUUCAGUUUUGCAGUCGCUGUUGCAGGUGUGAUUUCCAUUGGUUGCGAUUCUCCACGGCUUGCAGAGUUUCUCACCAUCACUUCACCUAUUUCUCAAGCUUGUGAGUCAGAAUGGAGCUAAAGCUUGCCAUGGAUGGAGCAGUAGGAUACACAUAUACUGAUGGCUGAUACUCAUUCAAGAGCCUCUCUUCAUUUGGUUUUUUUCGGAAUUAGGAAAAACCUGACAGGUUUGUGUGACCUUAUUAACAGGUUGGAUGACCAAUAAACAUUACCAUGGACGCUAGGAAGUUUUUAAUGGUGGGCCGCACCGUUUCCUGUGGUGUGGUCCAGCUGACCUUAUCAACUGGUUGGAUGGCCGGUAAACAUUACAAUGAAUGGUAGGAAGUUUUUAAUGGUGGGCGUUCAAUGAACACAGUUUCCUGUG